rnacentral:tRNA from 1 species
GCCUGGGUGGCUCAGUCGGUUGAGCGUCUGACUUUGGCUCAGGUCAUGAUCUCGCGGUCCGUGAGUUCGAGCCCCACGUCAGGCU